GCGGAGGCAGCGGGGGAAGAUGGCGGCGGCUGUUCCACAGCGGGCGUGGACCCUGGAGCAGCUGCGCAGUGAGCAGCUGCCCAAGAAGGACAUUAUCAAGUUUCCGCAGGAACACGGUUCAGAUUCGUUUCUUGCAGAACAUAAAUUAUUAGGAAACGUUAAAAAUGUGGCCAAGACAGCUAACAAGGACCACUUGGUUACAGCCUAUAACCAUCUUUUUGAAACUAAGCGUUUUAAGGGUACUGAAAGUAUAAGUAAAGUGUCUGAGCAAGUAAAAAAUGUGAAGCUUAAUGAAGAUAAACCCAAAGAAACCAAGUCUGAAGAGACCCUGGAUGAGGGUCCACCAAAAUAUACUAAAUCUGUUCUGAAAAAGGGAGAUAAAACCAACUUUCCCAAAAAGGGAGAUGUUGUUCAUUGCUGGUAUACAGGGACACUACAAGAUGGAACUGUUUUUGAUACUAAUAUUCAAACAAGUGCAAAGAAGAAGAAAAAUGCCAAGCCUUUAAGUUUUAAGGUCGGAGUAGGCAAAGUUAUCAGAGGAUGGGAUGAAGCCCUCUUGACUAUGAGUAAAGGAGAAAAGGCUCGACUGGAGAUUGAACCAGAAUGGGCUUAUGGAAAGAAAGGACAGCCUGAUGCCAAAAUUCCACCAAAUGCAAAACUCAUUUUUGAAGUGGAAUUAGUGGAUAUUGACUGAAAUAGUUCAGCUCUAAGGGUAUUAGCAACAAUGAGAAAACUUGGCCUUGAAGAAACUUACCUAACUAGUUAGAACUUGUUACUAUUGUAAAGGAAGAGUCAACUGGAAAAUUCAAGGAGUUAAUAAAAUUUGUU